AACGAGUGGCGGACGGGUGAGUAACACGUGGGUAACCUGCCCUUAAGUGGGGGAUAACAUUUGGAAACAGAUGCUAAUACCGCAUAGAUCCAAGAACCGCAUGGUUCUUGGCUGAAAGAUGGCGUAAGCUAUCGCUUUUGGAUGGACCCGCGGCGUAUUAGCUAGUUGGUGAGGUAACGGCUCACCAAGGCGAUGAUACGUAGCCGAACUGAGAGGUUGAUCGGCCACAUUGGGACUGAGACACGGCCCAAACUCCUACGGGAGGCAGCAGUAGGGAAUCUUCCACAAUGGACGCAAGUCUGAUGGAGCAACGCCGCGUGAGUGAAGAAGGCUUUCGGGUCGUAAAACUCUGUUGUUGGAGAAGAAUGGUCGGCAGAGUAACUGUUGUCGGCGUGACGGUAUCCAACCAGAAAGCCACGGCUAACUACGUGCCAGCAGCCGCGGUAAUACGUAGGUGGCAAGCGUUAUCCGGAUUUAUUGGGCGUAAAGCGAGCGCAGGCGGUUUUUUAAGUCUGAUGUGAAAGCCCUCGGCUUAACCGAGGAAGCGCAUCGGAAACUGGGAAACUUGAGUGCAGAAGAGGACAGUGGAACUCCAUGUGUAGCGGUGAAAUGCGUAGAUAUAUGGAAGAACACCAGUGGCGAAGGCGGCUGUCUGGUCUGUAACUGACGCUGAGGCUCGAAAGCAUGGGUAGCGAACAGGAUUAGAUACCCUGGUAGUCCAUGCCGUAAACGAUGAAUGCUAGGUGUUGGAGGGUUUCCGCCCUUCAGUGCCGCAGCUAACGCAUUAAGCAUUCCGCCUGGGGAGUACGACCGCAAGGUUGAAACUCAAAGGAAUUGACGGGGGCCCGCACAAGCGGUGGAGCAUGUGGUUUAAUUCGAAGCAACGCGAAGAACCUUACCAGGUCUUGACAUCUUUUGAUCACCUGAGAGAUCAGGUUUCCCCUUCGGGGGCAAAAUGACAGGUGGUGCAUGGUUGUCGUCAGCUCGUGUCGUGAGAUGUUGGGUUAAGUCCCGCAACGAGCGCAACCCUUAUGACUAGUUGCCAGCAUUUAGUUGGGCACUCUAGUAAGACUGCCGGUGACAAACCGGAGGAAGGUGGGGAUGACGUCAAAUCAUCAUGCCCCUUAUGACCUGGGCUACACACGUGCUACAAUGGAUGGUACAACGAGUUGCGAGACCGCGAGGUCAAGCUAAUCUCUUAAAGCCAUUCUCAGUUCGGACUGUAG
rnacentral:rRNA from 1 species